CCGCCCCUUUCUUUCCCCGGAGUCCCUCCACCCCAUAACAAUACCUCGAAUUUCCAAAAGAGGUCACCAGACGCACAUGGGCCGCAACACACACAGUCAGGCUUCCAGCACAUUCUCCCCCAUUUGGAGGAUACUCGAAUGUCAGGUUUUUGGUUUUAUUAUGAUUUCAGAACUAGCUCAGCCCAUCUCUAAUUAUAAAACAUGGUUUUGUUUUGUUUUGUUUUUUCCUUUUUUUCUUGAUUAGGUCUGGAACAGCUCUAGAAUGAACACAUAAAAUUUAGCAAUUUAAAAUCUCUUUCUUUACUGCAAGUUUAAAUAGUUGUACAGAUAGUUUAUAAGCACAAUAUUUUAAGAAAAAAAAGUGGCUGGUCUACUAGGCAGCCUUUGUGCCACUUCAGUGCUAGAAAGUUAAAGAAAAAAAAAACUUUUGUGAUUUAAUAAUACUAUUUCUGUGGAAUAAUUAUAAAAGUAUGACCUUUUUAAAUCAACCUUAUUUGGAUGCAUCUGAACCAGCAGAGCUGUGUUAUAUUUUCUAUCUUUGCUAGAACUUCGUCAUUGAAGGACAAUUUCUUCAAAGUGGUUACAAUUCAUAAUGCAGCAGUUUCUCCAAAAACAAAAACAAAACACACACCACACACACGUGCUUUUCCAGUCACACACUCCUGAUCUGGAAACCAAGUUUUUGGACCUUCUGUUCCAAAACCUUUUGCAGGUCAACCUUUGUAUUUGAAAUUAUCCAAUCCAACUUGAAAUCAAUUGAAUAUUAAGGCGCUUUACUUCCGUGUGCUUUCAGUUUUUCCAUCAUGAGAUGAAUGAGCAUUACUCUAGAUAAAUUUCAAGACAGGAUACUAUAGGUGGCCUGCUGAGGCUGCCCCAUAUUUUAGAAAAUGUAAAAAUGGUGGUUUGGCCAUUAAUUUGUCUUCCAUUUGAUGAUACCGCAAAAUUCCGUGAAUCCAUUCCUUUGGCAUGGCGCUUUCCCUGGGCCUACAGUUGGUAUUACCUCUGUGCUCAGUGCCAGGCAAAACACUAGCUCAAAGGAGAGUCAAGGAAACCGCUGGCAGACGAUAACCAGUCGCAACUCGGUGACUUCGGUUUGUUGAACUUUGGCAGCCAGUUGGUGAGGGCCAGAUGUUAUUCCCUUUCUUAAAGAUACUCCAAGCCACAUGCCACUAACCACAAGCAAGCUGGCUGCAAGACUAAAGAGUGGAUAACAUAGUUUAUUUUUACAUUGUCUUAUUAUAGAGAAGUAAUAGACCUAUCAGAACCUGCACUGACCAACAAAUAAACACAUGUUGCCAAGAUGAAUCGGUCUCUAUCUCUAUUUGCUUAUUUUGGUACUGAAAGCAAUAGUUCCUCAUUCAAAUCACCACCCACUGUUCUCCCCCUUUGGGACAUGUUAGGACCAGGCCCUAUUCCAUGCCCCUCUUUAAUGGUGGAACAAAUGUUAAACUGCUCAUCUAAAGAUCAUGUUGAUAUUAUUCCAGGUUUUAAGAUCAACUUUUGUUACAUACUGUAAUUUAAAUAAACUGCAUUUACAUGCCUAGUUUCUGUAAUAUUGUGUAUACAAAACCCAAAUCUCUCAAAAUGUAAAUUAUGUAUACCUGCCAAGAUACCUUUUCCAGGGUGUCUGCGCACAUUUUAAGUUAAUUCACAUAAUAUAAAAAUUACUCAAUGUGACUGUUGAUUUGCUGAACUUUACAUAUCACAAAGUGAAUUAUUUGUGAUACUUUAGUUAAUAAAAUGGUAAAUUUUUUUCUCAGUUAUUGAACAAGCAAGCAUUAUCCAGUUGAUCUGGCAAUGACUUUUUGUGUGUGGGCCACAAUAUUGAUUUUCCCAUUAACAAUUUUUUUUUUGUUUUUUAAAUACUAAUAUGUUUCACACUAUAGUUUGUGUAACAACACGUGUUCGCAUUAUCUAUGUUGCUGUUACUUUUGUGCUUUUAUUCUUUUUAGACUUUAUAAAAAAAAAAAGCUCCUGUAAUUUGCACUUUCUCCCAAUCCUUAAAUCUCUUGUAUGGCAACCAAAAUUACUGUAAAAAAAUAAAUAUACUAUUGCA
ensembl:lncRNA